UUCUGGAUGGACAAUUUUACCCCUCAAUAGUUGGGGCCUUGUGCUUGCUGGGUUGUCCAAAAUUGUCAUUUUAAGUUUUCCACAUAGUGGUCUACGUGGCACAGUGAAACGAAGUGGCUCUUCUAAGCCUCACACGUACUCUUGUCAGCUCUCACACGUACAUCUUCUCCAACCUUCCCCGUUCUCACCGAGGAUCCCCAUUCUCUCUCUCUCUCUCUCUCAACUGAGCCGUCGCCAUGGCGGUGAGUCACUCUCACCCUAUCAGUUGCACAGAUUCUGCAUGUCUCUGCAUCUCCUGCUAUCUCUUCCCUCUCGCCGGCGGUCCUCAUAGGGCGCUCCAGUGUACUGAACAGAUUAACGAUCUCCUGAUUCUACUUGGUAACAAGAGUUUUGUGGUUUCCUAAGGAACACUCUCGGAUUCACCGACCCAUCUGAUCAAAGGUCAGAAAUUCACCCCCACAGUAGUGAUCUUGCUUUCAAUCUUACUGUGUUUUGCUUCUGUCGUUUGUUUAAAUUUACUGGAAGUUUUUGUUUGGUUCUUUUUGUUCGUCUUUCUUUUGCUUCGACUAUUUAUGUUAUGCUUUUUUUAGGUUUUCCCAUGUCAGCCUAUUUCUAAAGCUGUCUCGCCAAAAGGUUCAAAAACCUCCCAACCCCUGAAUGGUAAGUCAGAUUAAUGUUUUUUGGGUGCUGAUGUGUCCUUUUUUACUUGGGUGAUGUGAUCAAGAUUUCAACUUUUGCUUUUUAUAUUGUUUGGUUUUUUCAUUUUGUAAUUGAGUAUGGAGUGCACAUUUGAGAACUUAAUAUGAAAGAUUGGUAUCAGUUAAGAUUGAUACAAAAAAUAUGGAUGUUGAUAUUAAUUAUUAGUGUGCAAAAUUUUCUAAAUUCGUGAUGAUAUAAAUCUCAAGUUCAUAUGUUGAGAAGAUGGGACUCAUUUCAUGGCAGGGCAACUGAUGUUGCAACCAUGGUGGGAAAACCUUUGUUUUACAAUCACAAUACAGACCUGAGCCUCAUGCUUUCCAUCAAUUUAUUGCCACACUUCAUUGGAGCCUGUUAAACUAGGAACAACAUUUCUUUAUGUUGGUUUUGCUUGUGUUAAAGCUUCCCAUAUUAGAAAAUCAGGUUUUGUACUUUUUAUCGUCAUUUAUGUGUUGUUUUCUCUACAUGCUGUAGUUUUUUAGCAGUAUUUCAGCAUUACUUAAUUAGUUAGCAUACUAUGUGCUUUAGUUUCUAAUUGUCCUUUCCUUGGGCAACUAAACUAGCUAUAGUUUGAGGAGAAGAUAAUUUCAAACUUGUGUAGUCAGUAAUCUAUUGGUGUCCUCUGCUGAGAAAAUUGUUUUGCUUUGUAGGCAGUUGAUUUGUAUGUAUUAUUGAGCUCAUUUCUUCCUAAAGGGGGACAGAUUAUAUUUGUUGCUGUCUAUCCAUUUGAGUUUGGACUAAAGCAUAUGGAAGAGGAAGCAGUGCGUGGUCCAGUACUCCUAUUUGAUGACGACAAAGAGCAGAAUUGAAGUGAUGAUGACGAUGAUGAAAUUGAUGUUAAGAAUCUGCUUGAAUGUGAAUUAACUAGGCUAAGGUACAAGAUGCUGAGGAUGACGAUUUGCUUCUAAUGAUGAGUUUGAAGACGAGGAUAUACAUGACGAGAUAGAUCCUGCAAUGGAAGAACAAAUUAAUAGGUAAGCUUAUUGAGGUUCAUUUCGAGUGGGUGUUAUUUAUCUGUGAAUCAAGAUAUGCCAUUAUUACUCAUAUCUUGCAUAAUAUACAUUUUUGCCAUUGUCUCAUAAAUGUAGCACUCAUACUUUCCCAAGACCGCUAAACUGCCCCAUUAGGUGUAUUUUUUUAUCACUUUCGACUGCCUCAACACCCUGAUUUUAUUGUAGUGCAUUAUCUUCUAGGAGCAACAUCUGUCAUGGUAGUAUUGUAAAUGUGGAAUUUUCUUUUUCUUUUUCUUUUUCUCUGCUAAACUUUGCGCAAUGUUUUAAUUUUCCCGAGGAAUUCUUCAGCCGACAUAUUACAGAUAUGGAUAUGGAUAUGGGAACAGUUACGAGUCCUUCCUUGUGGGCUUGUAGCAAUUAUACUUUGUAUUGAAAGUUGAGAUUAAAUGGUUCUGUGAGUGACAAAGUGGUAUUGCCUAAGAGCUAGAGCUACAAAGUGGUGGUUUUAAGGUUUAAGUGUUGCAGUGAAGAAGUGAUAAAUACCAGACUUUUGUGUAAUUGAGAAACCAGGGUAUAUUUUGUGUCUAAUUAUGUAUUUUUUUCCCUCUUGUUUUGGUAUGAUCCAAAGUGAAUUCCUGAUCGGUAGCAUGCAUUCAUUUUAAAGUAAUAGCUUAACUUUGUCAUUUGCUA